GGCCUGUUCAAUCUCCUGUGGCACGGGAUACAGCGCCCGCUACAGGAUAUGCGACUCUUCCGCACCAUUGUUUGAUGGAAAUGAUUGUUUUGGCAGUGCAAGAUCCUACAAACAAUGCAACAUUGGACCUUGCCCAAUUGAUGGUGGGUGGUCGGAAUGGACACCGUUUGGGGUGUGCAGUCGCACAUGUGGGAAAAACGCAGUUAAAGAGAGGUAUCGUCAGUGUAACAAUCCAGUAGCGGCCUUCGGCGGUGCUGAUUGUAGCGGUGAACAUUUCCAGAUAGACAUAUGCCCUGUUCGGG